CAGAUUUCUCUUGCACUUUGUUUUGUUUUGAUGUUUGGGAACUCAAUGUUAUUAUUAUGCUUCUUCUUUGGUCCUUAUUUGGGGUAUUCUGGCAAUGAAACCACAUUUCCUGAAAAUAAAUGUAUCUGAACUUAGUUUAUGGGUUAUUCAAGGAUGUUUUUGGUUAUUUGGAAUUGUCAUACUUAAAUACUUGACAUCUAAAAUUUUUGGUAUUACAGAUGA